rnacentral:rRNA from 1 species
GAUGAACGCUGGCGGCGUGCCUAAUACAUGCAAGUCGAGCGAACAGACGAGGAGCUUGCUCCUCUGACGUUAGCGGCGGACGGGUGAGUAACACGUGGAUAACCUACCUAUAAGACUGGGAUAACUUCGGGACACCGGAGCUAAUACCGGAUAAUAUAUUGAACCGCAUGGUUCAAUAGUGAAAGACGGUUUUGCUGUCACUUAUCGAUGCAUCCGCGCCGCUUUAGCUAGUUGUUAAGGUAACGGCUUACCAAGGCAACGAUGCGUAGCCGAACUGAGAGAGUGAUAGGCCACACUGGAACUGAGACAGGGACAAGAGGACUAAGGGAGGCAGCAGUAGGGAAUCUUCCGCAAUGGGCGAAAGCAUGACGGAGCGACGCCGCGUGAGUGAUGAAGGUGUUCGGAGCGUAAAACUCUGUUAUUAGGGAAGAACAAAUGUGUAAGUAACUAUGCACGUCGUGACGGUACCUAAUCAGAAAGCCACGGCUAACUACGUG